UACGAAGGGGGCUAGCGUUGCUCGGAAUCACUGGGCGUAAAGGGUGCGUAGGCGGGUCUUUAAGUCAGGGGUGAAAUCCCAAGGCUCAACCUUGGAACUGCCUUUGAUACUGGCAAUCUCGAGUCCGGGAGAGGUGAGUGGAACUGCGAGUGUAGAGGUGAAAUUCGUAGAUAUUCGCAAGAACACCAGUGGCGAAGGCGGCUCACUGGCCCGGUACUGACGCUGAGGUGCGAAAGCGUGGGGAGCAAACAGG
rnacentral:rRNA from 1 species